ACGCUGGCGGCAGGCCUAACACAUGCAAGUCGAGCGGCAGCGACAACAUUGACCCUUCGGGUGAUUUGUUGGGCGGCGAGCGGCGGACGGGUGAGUAAUGCCUGGGAACAUGCCUUAGUGUGGGGGAUAACCAUUGGAAACGAUGGCUAAUACCGCAUAAUCUCCUGUCUUUUACGAGAUGGGAGCAAAGAGGGGGACCUUCGGGCCUCUCGCGCUAAGAUUGGCCCAGGUGGGAUUAGCUAGUAGGUGGGGUAACGGCUCACCUAGGCGACGAUCCCUAGCUGGUCUGAGAGGAUGAUCAGCCACACUGGAACUGAGACACGGUCCAGACUCCUACGGGAGGCAGCAGUGGGGAAUAUUGCACAAUGGGGGAAACCCUGAUGCAGCCAUGCCGCGUGUGUGAAGAAGGCCUUCGGGUUGUAAAGCACUUUCAGUCGUGAGGAAGGCGGUAUCGUUAACAGCGGUAUCGUUUGACGUUAGCGACAGAAGAAGCACCGGCUAACUCCGUGCCAGCAGCCGCGGUAAUACGGAGGGUGCGAGCGUUAAUCGGAAUUACUGGGCGUAAAGCGCAUGCAGGCGGCUUGUUAAGCCAGAUGUGAAAGCCCGGGGCUCAACCUCGGAAUCGCAUUUGGAACUGGCAGGCUAGAGUCUUGUAGAGGGGGGUAGAAUUUCAGGUGUAGCGGUGAAAUGCGUAGAGAUCUGAAGGAAUACCCGGUGGCGAAGGCGGCCCCCUGGACAAAGACUGACGCUCAGAUGCGAAAGCGUGGGGAGCAAACAGGAUUAG
rnacentral:rRNA from 1 species